UACGGAGGGAGCUAGCGUUGUUCGGAAUUACUGGGCGUAAAGCGCGCGUAGGCGGCUUUGUAAGUUAGAGGUGAAAGCCCGGAGCUCAACUCCGGAACUGCCUUUAAAACUGCAUCGCUUGAAUCCAGGAGAGGUGAGUGGAAUUCCGAGUGUAGAGGUGAAAUGCGUAGAGAUGCGGAAGAACACCAGUGGCGAAGGCGGCUCACUGGACUGGUAUUGACGCUGAGGUGCGAAAGCGUGGGGAGCAAACAGG
rnacentral:rRNA from 1 species